AGGACGCAAGGACUCUUCACUUGUGAGCUAACCAGGAUUUACCAAGGGCGCCCACCAAGUCGCUUCCCACAGCGGGUUGAGAAGCCUCGGUGGUUCAGUCGACCGAGGCGUCGAACGGCGUCAGGCGAACGAGCAGCGGGAGUGUAGCAGGUGGUUCGCUGCGCCUCGGUAAUUGAACGGCUUUGAACGGCAAGAUGCGGGCGGGCGGCAGGAGUGCCCCGGUCGUUCGCCUGCUAAAGGAUGCUGCUGUACGGCAGCAAACCUUUACAACAGAGUUGAAUAUCCUUAGACUCUGGACCCUUGCUGUGAACCUUCAGUAUGACCUUCAGUAUCACCUUGGACUCAGGUGUGUGUGGGUGUAUGGCUGGACCCGCACGUCUUCGACUUCUUCAGGUAUGUAGGUAUACUACCUUUUACCAUUUAUUUGUUCAUUUACACAUUGGAAGUGCUGCCAGGCUUCCUCCAAGCUUAUUUUAAUGAAAUUUUAUCGCGGCUUUCAUUUAUCCGCCCUUGCUCUUCGCCGAUUACUGUACACGUGAUGUCGCUAGCUGCCUCGAAAAGAGAGACUGGGAUGAGGAGUUGCUGUGAAUACGAUGCCUUUUUAUCUGGGUCUGGAUCUGGAUGAUAAUGCGCAGGGCACCUUUUUAGGUGCAUAACACAUAUCCACUGCACUCAGACCCGUAUAUUAAUCGUGGUUCACUAAUGCAGUUUCGUUAUGUUCAAAGGAGAUAAUUCAAGUAAUGACGACAUAUAGCGAGAAGGUAGACGCUGCUGAGGUUGUGUUUAAAGUGACUAGAACGAGAUAACUGUCGAGGCAGCAGAGAAGGGGAAAAGUAAUCGAGGAGCCGGGUGGAGGAUGUCGGUGUACCUGUGCCACCCACUCAUCCUCCACCGUUUGGUGCGUGCUGUUGUUCCGUAUUCACCUGUCUUCUCACAACAACCCAGUUUCAUUUCAAGAAUCACCCCAAAGUGGGUGAUUUUACUUGCUUCAUAAACAAACUGUUACUUUUCCUCAUUUGUAAUUUUGACUAAUUCCCGUAACGCCCAUUCUUUACUAAAACUUGUCCUCUGGUCCCACCCGCUGGUUCAGAACGCUCAAAAAUGUUACUCUGCGAGGAAAAAAAGUUGUUUGCAGGUAAUGGAGGAUUGGAGUUGGAUGUGGUUGAGGGAUUGUGGGUGGA